rnacentral:rRNA from 1 species
GAUGAACGCUGGCGGCGUGCCUAAUACAUGCAAGUCGAGCGAACGGACGAGAAGCUUGCUUCUCUGAUGUUAGCGGCGGACGGGUGAGUAACACGUGGAUAACCUACCUAUAAGACUGGGAUAACUUCGGGAAACCGGAGCUAAUACCGGAUGAUAUUUUGAACCACGUGGUUCAAAAGUGAAAGACGGUCUUGCUGUCACUUAUAGAUGGAUCCGCGCUGCAUUAGCUAGUUGGUAAGGUAACGGCUUACCAAGGCAACGAUGCAUAGCCGACCUGAGAGGGUGAUCGGCCACACUGGAACGGAGACACGGUCCAGACUCCUACGGGAGGCAGCAGUAGGGAAUCUUCCGCAAUGGGCGAAAGCCUGACGGAGCAACGCCGCGUGAGUGAUGAAGGUCUUCGGAUCGUAAAACUCUGUUAUUAGGGAAGAACAUAUGUGUAAGUAACUGUGCACAUCUUGACGGUACCUAAUCAGAAAGCCACGGCUAACUACGUG